rnacentral:rRNA from 1 species
UGGGGAAUUUUGGACAAUGGGCGAAAGCCUGAUCCAGCCAUGCCGCGUGAGUGAAGAAGGCCUUCGGGUUGUAAAGCUCUUUUAGUCGGAAAGAAAGAGUUGCAAUGAAUAAUUGUGAUUUAUGACGGUACCGACAGAAAAAGCACCGGCUAACUACGUGCCAGCAGCCGCGGUAAUACGUAGGGUGCGAGCGUUAAUCGGAAUUACUGGGCGUAAAGGGUGCGCAGGCGGUCUUGCAAGUCAGAUGUGAAAGCCCCGGGCUUACCCUGGGAAUUGCGUUUGAAACUACAAGGCUAGAGGGCAGCAGAGGGGAGGGGAAUUCCAGGUGUAGCAGUGAAAUGGGUAGAGAUGUGAAGAACACCGAUGGCGAAGGCAGCUCCCUGGGUUGACACUGACGCUCAUGCACGAAAGCGUGGGGAGCAAACA